GCGAAAGUGGCGGAAUUGGUAGACGCACUGGAUUUAGGUUCCAGCGCCGCAAGGCGUGAGAGUUCGAGUCUCUCCUU
rnacentral:tRNA from 1 species